CUGUACAUAUACGCGAAAUCG
rnacentral:tRNA from 1 species